rnacentral:rRNA from 1 species
UAGGGAAUCUUCCACAAUGGGCGAAAGCCUGAUGGAGCAACGCCGCGUGGGUGAAGAAGGUCUUCGGAUCGUAAAACCCUGUUGUUAGAGAAGAAAGUGCGUGAGAGUAACUGUUCACGUUUCGACGGUAUCUAACCAGAAAGCCACGGCUAACUACGUGCCAGCAGCCGCGGUAAUACGUAGGUGGCAAGCGUUAUCCGGAUUUAUUGGGCGUAAAGGGAACGCAGGCGGUCUUUUAAGUCUGAUGUGAAAGCCUUCGGCUUAACCGGAGUAGUGCAUUGGAAACUGGGAGACUUGAGUGCAGAAGAGGAGAGUGGAACUCCAUGUGUAGCGGUGAAAUGCGUAGAUAUAUGGAGGAACACCAGUGGCGAAGGCGGCUCUCUGGUCUGUAACUGACGCUGAGGCUCGAAAGCGUGGGGAGCAAACAGG